UACAGAGGUCCCGAGCGUUGUUCGGAUUCACUGGGCGUAAAGGGUGCGUAGGUGGCCAUGAAAGUUUGAUGUGAAAUCUCCGGGCUUAACCCGGAAAAGGCAUUGAAUACUCUGUGGCUGGAGGUUUGGAGGGGGGACUGGAAUUCUCGGUGUAGCAGUGAAAUGCGUAGAUAUCGAGAGGAACACCAGUGGCGAAGGCGGGUCCCUGGACAACACCUGACACUGAGGCACGAAAGCUAGGGGAGCAAACAGG
rnacentral:rRNA from 1 species